AUCCAGAUGACGAGUCCCAAAUAGGACGAAACUUACAUGCAU
rfam:Schistosoma mattheei strain Denwood, Zambia genome assembly, scaffold: SMTD_contig0001040